UACGUAGGGGGCAAGCGUUGUCCGGAAUCAUUGGGCGUAAAGAGCGUGUAGGCGGCCCGAUAAGUCCGCUGUGAAAGUCCAGGGCUCAACCCUGGAAUGCCAGUGGAAACUGUCGGGCUGGAGUCCGGAAGAGGCGAGUGGAAUUCCUGGUGUAGCGGUGAAAUGCGCAGAUAUCAGGAGGAACACCAAUGGCGAAGGCAGCUCGCUGGGACGGUACUGACGCUGAGACGCGAAGGCGUGGGGAGCAAACAGG
rnacentral:rRNA from 1 species